rnacentral:rRNA from 1 species
GACGAACGCUGGCGGCGCGCCUAACACAUGCAAGUCGAACGAGCGAGAGAGAGCUUGCUUUCUCAGGCGAGUGGCGAACGGGUGAGUAACGCGUGAGGAACCUGCCUCAAAGAGGGGGACAACAGUUGGAAACGACUGCUAAUACCGCAUAAGCCCACGACCCGGCAUCGGGUAGAGGGAAAAGGAGCAAUCCGCUUUGAGAUGGCCUCGCGUCCGAUUAGCUAGUUGGUGAGGUAACGGCCCACCAAGGCGACGAUCGGUAGCCGGACUGAGAGGUUGAACGGCCACAUUGGGACUGAGACACGGCCCAGACUCCUACGGGAGGCAGCAGUGGGGAAUAUUGCACAAUGGGGGAAACCCUGAUGCAGCGACGCCGCGUGGAGGAAGAAGGUCUUCGGAUUGUAAACUCCUGUUGUUGAGGAAGAUAAUGACGGUACUCAACAAGGAAGAGACGGCUAACUACGUG